UACGGGGGGGCAAGCGUUGUCCGGAAUUAUUGGGCGUAAAGAGCUCGUAGGCGGUCUGUCGCGUCUGCUGUGAAAACUCAGGGCUUAACCCUGAGCUUGCAGUGGGUACGGGCAGACUAGAGUGCGGUAGGGAGACUGGAAUUCCUGGUGUAGCGGUGAAAUGCGCAGAUAUCAGGAGGAACACCGGUGGCGAAGGCGGGUCUCUGGGCCGUAACU
rnacentral:rRNA from 1 species